rnacentral:lncRNA from 1 species
ACCAAGCCUUGAAGAGGUCCGCCCCUGGCUCUCACCCUUUCCAGAAAACAACAACGGUCGAAGGAGUGAGAAAGAAGAAGAUUCACAGCAGAAGAAGAAUACCAGGAAGGAAGAAGAAUGUAACAUGGGUUAGUGAUUUUCUCUAUAAUCAUCUCUCUUUAUACUGUAAAAUUUGUGGUUUCUUCUUCUUUAUUGUUUUCAAAAGCUUCCCUACUUUUACUACAAAAUCUUCUUAUUUGUUUCUAUGUUGUGUUGGAAUUUACUUACCUAGCAAUUUUAUGUUGUCCUGUUUCAGUUUUAUGAAUGCACACCAUGUGUUUGACAAAAUGUUCUUUCCAGUAACAGGUGCUAAUUUUUCUGACCGGGAAUCUAUACAUGUUUCAUGUUUAUAGCAAGUUUUUAACUAAACUAAAUUACAUGUUGAUUAGCAUGUUUGUUUCCUCUUCAUUAGGUGAGCAUUGUUUCUCUCCUCUCUAUUCUUUCUUCUUGACAUUUUGUGUUGGCGCAGCUUAAGCUUUUGGCUUCACACACUUUGGCCUGCACAGGCCUAACAAGCAAGCAGACAAUCAAGGAAACACGCGCGCGCUGCACUGUCACUUUGGCCUAGCCAAUGAGCACAGUUUAUGCAGGAUCUACAAUCCUUGUUGCUGCAACAAUGGUGAAUGGAUGGAAAGGAAGAAAACCACACGAUUAACAGAGGAAGAAGAAGAUGAAGAUUAGGGAAAAAUGGAGUCAGUUUUAUUCAUCCUCGAUGGGGGAAAAAAUAGUUGAUUACAAUCACUAAUCAUGAGCCUAUAUUUAUACUAAUACUAGAUCAUCACAUUAGUUGAUGAUUCUCUUAUGCCCUAACCAACUAACAACUCCCUAACUGACUCNNNNNNNNNNNNNNNNNNNNNNAACUCUAUUAACAAACUAACUAACUUGCUUCUCAAGCAAUUAGUUACACUUUCACUUUUUGCUAGCUUGCACACCAAGUCAGCUUAUGCACAAUAUGAAUUAAUCAUCUAGAGUCCUCUUAGAUUCAACAUUUUGUUCAUCUGUCUGUGUUUAAAUCUUGACUUUUUUUCUAUUGAUUGAAGCUAGCCGAAAUGGAAAGAUCAAAUAGAUUAUAUCCAGAACUGAUUUUCUAUUUGAAGUUUUCAAAACUAUAUGCAAACCUGUUUUUCUAUUUGAAGAUUACACAUUUAUAAAACCACUUGGUUAAGUUUUCAAAACUAUAUUUGAAGAUAGAAAGAAUAUUUAGUAACAUUAUAGCAAUGGUUUGGUAUGAACUUCAAAAAAUAUAUUGGUUGUAAUAAGGUAAUCUUUUGUAAUCUUUUCAUGUCUAUGUUAAUAUUUAUUGUUAUAUUUCAAGAUUGUACUAAGGUAAUCAUUUGGUCCUUAUAUUUGAUAAUGAAAUCUACCGAUUUGGAUCCUCAGCACCCUUGUAAUUUCAGCAUUUUAAUCUAACUGUUAUCUCAUGAUGUUUUCUCUGUAGCCUCCCAUGUAUCUUUUAUAUUCCAAAUAUUUCAGUUUUGUCCUUGCUAAAAACUAUAACCAAUUUUGUUUCUAAACACAUCAACUAUUUUAGGAAACAAAAUAUUUGAUUCAAGAAUAUUCCUUGCUGGAACUUUUGGACCAACUGCAAUUUGAAGCCCAAAUUCAAGACCUAGCACGUGCUAGCUCAGGCUAUAUAAAGGAAGGCCAAAACCUAAUUUUACACACAGAAUCAUAAACGUAUAUCAAAGAUGUAGUCUUUAGGGUUUCGUGUCUUGUAGCCACUCUCUAGGAGAGUUGGUGUAAGUGAACCACUCGGGUUAUGAGAUGAUCACUAUGUCCUCACUCAAAAACCUUUAGGUAAUGAGUUGAGUAUUGUACUUGGAGGAAGCUUGUAAGCAACUCCAAAUUGUGAACUUAGUCAAGAAUGUUGGCUAGGUAUUAGUUUUAUGUGAGUGUGACUCUUUGCAGAUUGUUAUCGAUUGUAAACACAUGUUGUGUUGAUUGAGGGAAGUGAGCGGAGGUUCUCACAUCUAGGAGUUCCUAGGUAGAAGUUGCACAGGUAGUGUCUAGGUGAUAAGUCAUAAACUGGGUGUUUAUUGAGUGCUUUGAACUGGAACUAUUUAGUGGAUUUCCUUCCUGGAUUGGUA